AACAGAAACUGACCGUUAUCACCCAAAAGUUUGUUUGUAAUAGCAGCGAGAAGCAAAGUAAGCGUAACUAAACUGAGUGGAAAAUGAUAUCAAAUAAGCUAUGCUAUGCUGUCCAGCGUCAGAAAGAAGAAACGUUUGACAGUACCAUGAAAACAAUGUCCGAACCAAUCUCGCUUGUUGAGUCGUUGAUACCCAAUUAUUAAAAGAACUAACAAAUAAGGGCAAAUAACCGUGAUACUCACGUAAUAUUCAUCCCUGCAAAUUUGUGUCUCGUCUUCGCAGCAUUACACAUCACAACAGACGAAAUCCCCAAUCUACAAUGAGUAGUGCUUCUAAAUGCUUCUAAAUCUGUUUCGAUGGCCAUUGAUGUUUGGCUGAUACUGGAGAUGCUAGCUGCCUAAUGAGGAGAUGGUGAAAGGUGUGUUUAAAGCUGUUGCUGCUGCUGUCCUUGGUGUCACAAUUCAGUGUGUUGUUCGUUAGUUUGUCUGUCCUGUCAAAUCUUUUCCAUCACUGUCGUCACUCAAAUCUCAUCCAUGCAGUAUACAAUAGAGACAAUGUGAUCUUUCUUGAUCUAGGAGUGAUUCAAUCGACUACUGCUAGAUUGAAAAACUUUCUAUGCCCAACAAAUAACAACGCUGUGUUAUUAUCGCGGUUGAGAAAGCAUCAGGCCCCCUGCCAUCCAAUAAAAUUAUGGGUCUUUUGUUUAA